rnacentral:lncRNA from 1 species
GCCAUCUUGCUAGCCCGCCCUCUGAGUGAGGCGGGACUUCCUCUUGUCACUUCCGGCUCCCAGCGCUCUCUGAAAGCUAGGCUAGCGGAGCUUAUAAAGAUCGGAUGGUAGAGCUUUCGCUUUCCCCUCAGACGCUCCAGAUGUAGACUAGGUGAGCUCUCUGCCCGGGAGGGACAGAUCGUCGGAGCCCGCGGGCGGAAGGCGAGUCGUGGCGGGGUUAGGGCUCUGGAGUCCGGCCCGGCCCGGCAGUCCCCUGAGCUUGAAAGAAUUGAAUGCCUCCUCAGUUGUCACCCAGGCUGAUCUUGCGCAGGCUGUUGGCUUCUCGUGGAGUUUGAGUUUUUGGACAGUGACGUAGGAUGGCUGUGUUGCCCAGACAAGAGAAGAAAAAGAAGAACCUGUUGCUUAAGUUCUGGAGACAUUUUUGUUGCUGUUGUUUACUGAGCAUGUGAAGGGAGGUCUUUCUGCCUUGCCUGUUUUAUUUUCAGGAAGCAGGGUUGGGAAUGAACCCUGGCGCUGAGACAGCCAUCCUGAAGCUAGAACAAGCCGGAAGAACAAAUAAACCCCAGUUUCUUGUAUCCUGGCUGAUGUAUUUAGUGAAUGGCCUAGGGGGCUGAACAACCUGCAUUAAAGCUUGCUGCAGAUACAUGAGACAGAGUCAACUGAGCUUGGGGCAGCUCUCCAAGACGGAUGCUGUGCCCAAUUUAAAAAGACAAAGUCAAAUAGGAUGAGGUUUGGGUUUGAACUUUUGUUUUUUUUUUCAGAUGACCUCAGUAUGUAGCCUACGACUUUUUUUAAACUGGUGUUUCUCCUGCCUGGGCCCUCUGAAUACUAGAAAUGCAGGUAUGCACCAUGGGGUUGAGGUGUUAACCAUUUCUAAAAUAAAAUAAACCUGUAAGGCUUUAAGUAACACUAAAAAUAAAAAUAAAAGGGCAUUUUGUACAGCUUUG